AUGGAUUUUGAGUUGUUUAACCUAGCCUUGCUCGCUAGGCAGGCAUGGCGAAUCUUGCAAAAUCCAGACUCUUUGGGCUCCCGAAUUCUGAAAGGAAUUUACUUCUCGAAUACAACGAUGCUAGAAACCAACAUCGGUAGCAACCCGAGCCAAGGCUUGAUUAGGAGGAUAGGCAAUGGUACAAGCACUAAUAUUUGGAAUGAGAAUUGGAUCCCAAGAGAGGAAUUCAUGAGACCUUAUGGGAGCAGAUUGUCAAACCCCCCGAAAAAUGUCUCUGAACUAAUAGAUGCCUCGGCGGCGUGCUGGAACAUCCAACGGAUCAGAGAAGUUCUUCUGCCUAUAGAUAUUCCUCAUGUGCUUAGCAUCCCACUAUGCACAAUGAAUCUUCCAGACUGCUGGUGCUGGAACUUUGAAAAGAAUGGCGUGUUCUCAGUACGCUCCGCGUAUAAGAUGCUAAUUGCAACAAAGCAAAGAAGAGAAGCUUGGCUAGAAGGGACAGCAGGAACUUCGGACAUACAGCAAGAAAAGAGUUCGUGGAAGUCCAUAUGGCAUGUCAGCGUCCCUGGGAAAAUAAGGAUGUUCCUAUGGAGACUUGCGAGGCACUCUUUACCCACGGAGGAUGUCAGAGAACACCGAAACAUGGCUACUUCAAGUUCAUGCGGUUUGUGCGGUGCACAAGAUUCUUGGAGGCACUCUCUGCUGGACUACUCUAUGUCCAGGUGCAUCUGGGCACUGGCGGAUGCGGAGCUAGCGGAUCAGUUGAGGGAAUCAAGCGAGUUGAGCACUAAACAGUGGUUGUUCUCAUUACUACGCUCGUCAUCGCAUGAAGUCUGUGUGAAACUGGCAGUGACACUUUGGGCAACGUGGACAGCAAGGAAAAAGGAAAUUCACAAAGGCAUCUUCCAGAGCCCUCACGCGCAACACAGAUUCAUCAACCGCCACCUGGUUGAGCUGGAAAUAGUUAAGGAGAACCAGCAUGCAACGUCGAGAAGAGCGAUACCCAGGACGGCAGCAACGGGCAGUGCAAGGCCAAAUGCUUCGCCGGCAAGAUUUGUCAAAAUCCAUGUCGAUGCGGGGGUAUCUAAACACCAUGGAAGAGGGGCGGUAGUGGCUGUCUGCCGCGAUGACCGGGGAAACUAUUUGGGAAGCUCAACAUUGGUGGUCGAAGGAAUGCAGGACGCGGCGAUCCUUGAAUGUAUGGCGUGCAGAGAGCUUUAG
rnacentral:rRNA from 1 species